rnacentral:rRNA from 1 species
GACGAACGCUGGCGGCGUGCUUAACACAUGCAAGUCGUACGGUAAGGCCCUUUCGGGGGUACACGAGUGGCGAACGGGUGAGUAACACGUGAGUAACCUGCCCACAACUUUGGGAUAACGCUAGGAAACUGGUGCUAAUACUGGAUAUGUGCCCCUGCUGCAUGGUGGGGGUUGGAAAGCUCCGGCGGUUGUGGAUGGACUCGCGGCCUAUCAGCUUGUUGGUGGGGUAGUGGCCUACCAAGGCGGCGACGGGUAGCCGGCCUGAGAGGGUGACUGGCCACAUUGGGACUGAGAUACGGCCCAGACGCCUACGGGAGGCAGCAGUGGGGAAUAUUGCACAAUGGGCGCAAGCCUGAUGCAGCAACGCCGCGUGCAGGAUGACGGCCUUCGGGUUGUAAACCGCUUUCAGCAGGGACGAAGCUUUUUGUGACGGUACCUGCAGAAGAAGCACCGGCUAACUACGUG